AUUGAACGCUGGCGGCAGGCCUAACACAUGCCAGUCGAGCGGAUGAAGGGAGCUUGCUCCUGGAUUCAGCGUCGGACGGGUGAGUAAUGCCUAGGAAUCUGCCUGGUAGUGGGGGAUAACGUCCGGAAACGGGCGCUAAUACCGCAUACGUCCUGAGGGAGAAAGUGGGGGAUCUUCGGACCUCACGCUAUCAGAUGAGCCUAGGUCGGAUUAGCUAGUUGGUGGGGUAAAGGCCUACCAAGGCGACGAUCCGUAACUGGUCUGAGAGGAUGAUCAGUCACACUGGAACUGAGACACGGUCCAGACUCCUACGGGAGGCAGCAGUGGGGAAUAUUGGACAAUGGGCGAAAGCCUGAUCCAGCCAUGCCGCGUGUGUGAAGAAGGUCUUCGGAUUGUAAAGCUCUUUAAGUUGGGAGGAAGGGCAGUAAGUUAACACCUUGCUGUUUUGACGGUACCAACAGAAUAAGCACCGGCUAACUUCGUG
rnacentral:rRNA from 1 species